UUAGGAAUUUUGGGCAAUGGGCGGAAGCCUGACCCAGCAACGCCGCGUGGGUGAUGAAGGCCCUCGGGUCGUAAAGCCCUUUUCCCGGGGACGAUGGUGACGGUACCCGGGGAAUCAGCCCCGGCUAACUACGUGCCAGCAGCCGCGGUAAUACGUAGGGGGCGAGCGUUGUCCGGAUUCAUUGGGCGUAAAGGGCUCGCAGGUGGCCCGCCGCGUCGUGCGUGAAAGGCCCCGGCUCAACCGGGGGGUGUCGUGCGAUACGGGCGGGCUGGAGGCCAGUAGGGGGAUGCGGAAUUCCGGGUGUAGUGGUGGAAUGCGUAGAGAUCCGGAGGAACACCGGCGGCGAAGGCGGCAUCCUGGACUGGUCCUGACACUCAGGAGCGAAAGCGUGGGGAGCGAUCCG
rnacentral:rRNA from 1 species